rnacentral:lncRNA from 1 species
CCUGGCUCUAGUUCCAGCCCGGGGCCUGCCCACAGAAACCAGCUGUUCCUGUUUCCUCUGUGUCCCGCGGUAGCACCGAGGAGGCUGGUGCACUGGGCUCCGUGGUUCCCGCCCGGGCCCGCCGCAGCCGGCUCUGAGGAAGCGGCUCUGAGGAAGCAGCGCACCGCCAGCCUCGUCCUCGCGCCGGCGACCCUGGGGCGGGUCACCUCGCCGGGUCGAGGCCUCCCGGGCAGGCCUGGCGGAGGGAGGAGCGAGGCCUGCCUGCGGGAGACCCGGGGAGGCGCGUCAUGUGCAAAAGGGUGAGGCUGCCAGGAGCUCACGCGCCGAGGAGUGAAAGAACGGGGUGCGGAGGCUGCUCGAGGGGAGGCGAGGCGGCGGGGAGGCGAGCGCGAGCGACCAGGAAGCAGGAAACCCGGGCAAGCUACCUAUGCCCUUUACGGCACCUGUUUAUUUUCAAGUGGCUUCCUCCCUCACCUCCUCCGGGCGUGUGUAUCAGCCGGCAUGGCGUCUCUGCCCCAUGCCCUGGGCCGCCAGGGGCCCGCAGGCUACGCGGGAGGUGGAGCGAGGGGAGCGAGCAGCGCACCCCCCUCUGGGGGCCGAAGCAGGGACGCCCAGGGCGCAGGCUUUCGGGCUGGACCUCGAGAAACGUGUGCAAAACACUGUGAUGGAGUUUAUUACACAUAACAGCAAAUUCCAAAGCAGGAGUGGCAGCAGAAAACAAUGAAGGCAAAGGAAGUAAGCCCGGGAAGAGAAAGCAGUUUUUGGACAACAGUUCCUUCACCUCAGCAUUUUUCAUGGAUUUCAAAUAAGUGGUGAGGUGGCAUAUUCUGAAGCAUCCAGAAGCUUUCUCUCCAACGAAAUUAUCUUCCUCAUUUUGCUUAAAUUUUACAUAAGUAGCUGAAUGGAGCUUUAAAGUGCUGACAAUCAAGAUCAACAAAGGCUGAGAAGUUACUACAUACAAUCCUGUGAUCCCUGAGCAUGAUACAUAGACUUUGAGAACUUUGAGGACAGGCUCUGUGCUCUGUUCAGUUUAGUGUCCUAAGGUCAAUGGCAUAUGGUGUUAUGCUAGGUACUUGGGAAACAGUCACUGUCUUUAGGAUGCUUAGUAGAUGUUCAAUAAAUGUUUAAGAUGUUGGGAGGAGCAGAUGUGAAAUGAUAACAAAAAGUAGUACAGGGUAAAUGUCCCAAGAGAAGUACAAAACUUGGAGAUGUAAAGGAGGAAAUUAUGGCUUUUCAGAGGGGUCAGGGAGAACCUUAUGAAGGGCAAGUAUUUGAAGAUAGAAAAGAUGGGCACUUAUUAUUAAAUGGAUGAAUACAAGCAUUAAAUUGCCAAAGGACAAAAAAUUCCAAGCAAACACAGAGGCAGGAAAGCAUUGCGAUUGUAGGAUUCAAGCAGAGGAAGAAAAGCGAAAUGUCUGGAGCAGCAGGUUGAGGAGACUGUGCUGUUGAGGCCUUGGACCCCAGUAGAUGUGAGGAGAGUGUGCUGGAUAUUUCUGUGAGCCUUAAUCCCACCUUGCUGGAGGUAAAUUUAAUUUGUCAUUUGGGUGUUCUCUCUUCUUCAGUCUCUCAGAGACUUUGUGGUUCCUUAAAACACAGGAGAAUUGCUCCUAAUUUUUGGCUCAUUAUGGUGGCCCUAUUGUUGAAGUUGUCAUGAACUGUUGAAUGGCAGUGACUCUGUUUCUCUGCUCUUCUUGGCCUGCAGGCAUCUUUCUUCACAAUGGAAGCCCUGUUGCCAAGGGUACAGCCUCCCUAGCUUCACCACACAGUUAGGCUCCGCAGAAUCCUUGUCUUCUUCCCCAGGUUCUGCUAGAAGUAGGACACAGGCCCCUUGAUGAUUGUGGAAACCACCACACCUUCCUGGUAUAGGGCAGUAGGGCAGUCUCCUUCUCUCCUUUGUUACUUCUGCUUCUACCUGUGUUCCUCCAGCAUAAUCCACUUCAGGAACCCAAGCUCUUGAAGACCAGGACACAAGCAGGUGUAGUAGGUCAUUUGCUUUCAAGCUUCUGCCACAGACUUCCCUGAAGUAAGGCGGCAAUUAGCCUGGCUACUUGCUUGGAAUAGGAGACGAAAACACUGGCAAUAAAAAGCACAAAUUAAUAGUUCAAUAAAUCAUCCUUCAUAUGCUUAACUGGGUGGACAGUGAGAAGGCACUUAAGGUUAAUGAAUAAUAGUAUUCAUACUUUAUUAUUCACUUUUUUUCCCAUUAGAUUAAGAAUGGAAAGAAAGAUGAAAAGCAAAAAGAAAGCACAGUAGAGGAUGCUAGAAAUUGGAGAUUUGGAGUAUACAGUCUUACCGGGAGCUCAUUUGUCAUGGCCAGCUUAACUCUGGGCUGCCCACUUCCUUUUUUCCUUCACUUCGUUUAAUCAAGGCUGAAGCAGGUGGCCCUAGUAAUAGGGUUGAGAGGUUUCCUGUUGCAUCUAGGUGGGAAUCAACUUUUCAUUUAUUCCUGGACAUUACAUUAACUUUGAAAGCUAUCUGUGGGGAUUUUUUAGCUGAGACCAUUUUCAAAUAGGCCUUCUGCGUAGGGAGAAAUUCACUAGGCCUCAAGUAACAGAAACCCAGAAAAAAAGUGACUUAAAAAAUUAGGGAUCCAAUUAUUCUUAUUUACAUCUGGAAGCAGAGUCAGGGCUCAUACUGAGGAUUUGUGAAGCCCCCAGGAUCCUCCUGUAUUUACGCUCAGUAAUCCUUACCAUGCUUUUGGGGCCUGGUGGUCACAAUACUGUGGCUCCACCUCCAACACGAUGUAUCUAGGAAGGAAGAAGGUAUGCACAAAGCAUCCAGUCACUUGAGUCUAUGUGCCUUUUAAAGAGCUUCCACAGAAGUUUCAUCCUUUGACUUUCACUUGUAUUUCAUUGGCCAGAACUGUGUUCCAUGGCCAUUCAUAGGUGCAGAGUGGGUGGGGAAAUAAAGUUUUCAGCUAGGCACAUUGCCACUGAGAAAAAUUCAGGUUGGUUUGUAAAGAAGAAAUGGAUAUUGAAUAGACAACUAACAGUGACUGCCACAUUCUGUACCAUUUUGUCCUUUUAUCCAAGUUAAUGUGCCUCCUGGGAGAGCAAACCAAAUUUUAGCGAACAUAAAUAAAUCUUCUAUCAAUGCAUCUCUCCUCUAUGCAUCCACCAAAAUGAAUCCACCAAAAAGAAAUAACUUUUGUAUUGGUAUCUCAUAUUAUGCAUAUUAUAAUUUCCCUCCAUUCACAUAGAUCAUACUGAAUUGAUUAUAUUUAGGGAUUCAUAAAUGUCGUUAUUUAGAAAGCUCCCUAUAAUGGCCAGUUCUUUGUUAAGUGUCUUUUAGUGCUUUCUUCUUCUCUCACUUUUUACUUUUCUAUGUGGGCUAUCAUCUCAUCUAUAUUGGUAGUUCAAUAACAACUUAUUUCCAACUUCCAUAUCUUUUUUUUUUUCUUUUUUUGAGAUGGAGUCCCACUCUGUCACCCAGGCUGGAGUGCAGUGGCACAAUCUCGGCUCACUGCAACCUCCACCUCCCUGGUUCAAGCAAUUCCCCUGCCUCAGCCUGCCGAGUAGCUGGGAUUACAGGCGCAUGCC